rnacentral:rRNA from 1 species
CCUACGGGUGGCAGCAGUGAGGAAUAUUGGUCAAUGGGCGAGAGCCUGAACCAGCCAAGUCGCGUGAAGGAUGACGGCCCUACGGGUUGUAAACUUCUUUUGUCAGGGAGCAAUUGAGUCCACGUGUGGUCUUAGCGAGAGUACCUGAAGAAAAAGCAUCGGCUAACUCCGUGCCAGCAGCCGCGGUAAUACGGAGGAUGCGAGCGUUAUCCGGAUUUAUUGGGUUUAAAGGGUGCGUAGGCGGAAUAUCAAGUCAGCGGUAAAAAUUCGGGGCUCAACCUCUUCGAGCCGUUGAAACUGGUUUUCUUGAGUGAGCGAGAAGUAUGCGGAAUGCGUGGUGUAGCGGUGAAAUGCAUAGAGAUCACGCAGAACUCCGAUUGCGAAGGCAGCAUACCGGCGCUCAACUGACGCUCAUGCACGAAAGUGUGGGUAUCGAACAGGAUUAGAUACCCCUGUAGUC